rnacentral:rRNA from 1 species
CGGAACGGGUGAGUAACGCGUGAGGAACCUGCCUCAAAGAGGGGGACAACAGUUGGAAACGACUGCUAAUACCGCAUAAGCCCACGGCUCGGCAUCGAGCAGAGGGAAAAGGAGUGAUCCGCUUUGGGAUGGCCUCGCGUCCGAUUAGCUGGUUGGUGAGGUAACGGCCCACCAAGGCGACGAUCGGUAGCCGGACUGAGAGGUUGAACGGCCACAUUGGGACUGAGAUACGGCCCAG